UAUUCUCUUAAAAGAUAAGAUGUCUCAAGAAGAAAGUGAAUUGGAACAUUGUUUAUUGUCCAGGAAGGGGAUUGUGAUCCUCUUCAACAAUUCUCCCUCCAAUGAUUCUCCAAGCAAAUAUAUAUCCUUAGAUGUUAGGUUGUGUAUGUAUAUGAUCGAAGAGAAACAGAUACAACAGUCAACAACGAACAAGCCUAAACCGGCUGAACAAGGGCAAAGGCCUUAGACCUCCUUACCGAUCAGAACAGACGGGGGAUAAAACAAGCCAACCUUAUAUAUAAGGAACCCGGUAAACCCAAUCUUGAUUCUUGAUGGGGAAAAAUCGUCUGUGGAGCCGAGAUCUGGAGUAAACUGGUGGAGAAGAUUUUAGCUGGUGACAUGUGGUGCUCGCAGAUCCAACAGUUGAGGACGAAUAUUAAUUUAGGUCGCAAAAGCGCCGUCGUAUAUGCCGGAUCCGCCUUCGAAGACGAGAACCCUAUCCGAUUGGUAUCUGACGGCGUCCUACACUUCCAAUUCUCCCUCCUCCGCACCGUCGGCGACACUCGACACUCUAUCUCCUUCGCUCGUUUUGCCUGGAGGGGAAGAGGUAAGAAACGGCGGAUGAGACAAAGCUUCGUUUUAGGAUUUUUGCCGAGAACCUCGUCUUCGUGGUAGCCAUUAAGGAAUCUAUGAGAAAGAACAAAAGAUGAAAUUGACGAAUUCAUUUAUCAGUUACUGGAUGUGACAGGGGAUGGCAUCUUGAGCAGGUAAAAUCAUAUCCGACCAUAACCUCUGGCGCUAGUGAGACUUUGCUGCCAUUUUCUUUAAACGAUAGGGGUAUAUUGAAGCCUAGCCUGAUUAUAUUUGCAAAUUAUAGAUAAAAUCUUCUAGAAAGAAGAAUUGGCAGUGUUGAAUUCACUGCUUAUUAGAAUGUCGGAGUCAUAAUCUCUCCUUUUUUUUUUUAUGAGAUUCUUUUUAUCAUUUUUGCAAUUUGUGCCUGUUUACUCAAAAUUGCAGUCUCCAAGUGAAGGCAAAUUUACCUGGUCAACACCAACCUCAUCAAUGCCCUCUUGAGUAGUUGCGGCAUCCCUAUUCCCUUCAAUGAGAGGUUGUGGGUUCAAACCCAUUAAAUUGGGAGUCUUUUCUAAUAUGAGUAGUUUCUUACUGGUCAUGGCAGUUCAUCCUGUGCUUUUUCAACCCAUUAACCUUCCUAUCAAAUGGAAAAAAAACAAUGAAAUAAAAUAAAACCUCCACUUUCGGGGGAGAUAAUUGAGGUACUUAUUAAGAGAACAGGUGUGUUUCCCAGAAAAUGAGACAGACUACUAUGAAAUAUCACUAUAACUUAGAAGGGAUGUUGUUCAGUGCAAGCGAGCAUUAUCGUGAGGCCGCGAUUCUCUCUCCAAAAGAUUCUAAGGGUUUGAUGCUCUCGGGGUUUGCAUUGUAUGAACUAGGGGAGUGUAGAGCGGCAGAGAAUUCAUUGGAGGAGGCAGUGUUCAGGAGCCCAAAAGACUCUGAAGCCCAUUAUAUUCUUGGGUUGGUUUUUCGUGCAGUGGGGGAAGAUGAGAGAACAAUUGAUCUAAAUCCCAACCAUUUGGGUGCGCUGUAAAACCUUGGUUGCUUGUUUCAGGAGAUGGGUCGGUAUCAUAGAGCAGCAGAGUUGUAUGGGAGAGUUGGGUUUCCGGCAAACUUUUGGCGUGCUCGGGCAAACCAAGUAGUCUCAUUGUGCUGAGCAGGGGAAAUUGUGGAUGCGAAGAAAGCGUCGAAAGAAUUGAGGAAGGGCCUCCACUAGAUGACAGGCGCUGUUGAGGUAUAUUCUACUUUGAGAUAUAUGGUUGAUGCAAAUGAUCAUCAGUUGCAGAAGAAGAUGAAGAAGAAGAAGAAUCAUGGUGGCCUCUUGAGUAGUACAUUAGCUAAAUUCAAACGGCAUGUGAGAAAACCAUAAGAAGGGAGUGUCUUGCCGAUGCCCUUAUUCGUCACAACAAGGAGUUCCAGAGGAACACUAAACUUAAUCUUUGUGAUGUUUCUCUUCCGAGUUAAGGAGACAUGUGGAUCUAAAGAAGAAAGGAAAGCAGGGAAUUCAAUAAGUAAGGCAGCAUUAGAGGUGAUUUUGGGGAAGUGGCUUCACUUUCUAAAAUCAAAAGUUUUUCAGUUGGCAGUUAAAGAAAUUAAUCAAAAAAUUUUUUCAGUCUUGGAUUCUACCAGGUCUGGGCGAGUGGAAUUUGGCAUGUUCUAUGCUGUCUUUGCUCCCACCUGUGCUGGGGAACCAAAGAAUUGCAAGCGUGCCUCCUUUGAUGCUCUAUUAUGGCAGUCGAGGUGGAGGGAGGGUCGAGAUGUGAUGGAAAAGGUUGAUGCUUUGAAGUAUAUGAGGUACUUGAGACUCCUUUAUUUCCCUUCUCAAGGAUAUAGUACUACCGACCUAUUGGUAGGCCAUGUAGAAGAGGAGAACACAAUGAUUUCAUUUUGCAAUAGUAGCAGGGAGAGGGUUCUAUGAGCGAAUAGGAUACUCUACACUUUACCAAAAAGAAAGAAAAAAAAAAAGGUUUCUGCACUUUCUCACAAUAAUUUUGUUAAUUAUUUU